GAGUAAUGCGUGACCGACCUGCCCCAUACACCGGAAUAGCUCCUGGAAACGGGUGGUAAUGCCGGAUGCUCCGACUCCUCGCAUGGGGUGUCGGGAAAGAUUUCAUCGGUAUGGGAUGGGGUCGCGUCCUAUCAGGUAGUCGGCGGGGUAACGGCCCACCGAGCCUACGACGGGUAGCCGGCCUGAGAGGGCGACCGGCCACAUUGGGACUGAGAUACGGCCCAGACUCCUACGGGAGGCAGCAGUGGGGAAUAUUGCACAAUGGGCGCAAGCCUGAUGCAGCGACGCCGCGUGCGGGAUGACGGCCUUCGGGUUGUAAACCGCUUUUGAUCGGGAGCAAGCCUUCGGGUGAGUGUACCUUUCGAAUAAGCACCGGCUAACUACGUGCCAGCAGCCGCGGUAAUACGUAGGGUGCAAGCGUUAUCCGGAAUUAUUGGGCGUAAAGGGCUCGUAGGCGGUUCGUCGCGUCCGGUGUGAAAGUCCAUCGCUUAACGGUGGAUCUGCGCCGGGUACGGGCGGGCUGGAGUGCGGUAGGGGAGACUGGAAUUCCCGGUGUAACGGUGGAAUGUGUAGAUAUCGGGAAGAACACCAAUGGCGAAGGCAGGUCUCUGGGCCGUUACUGACGCUGAGGAGCGAAAGCGUGGGGAGCGAACAGGAUUAGAUACCCUGGUAGUCCACGCCGUAAACGGUGGAUGCUGGAUGUGGGGCCCGUUCCACGGGUUCCGUGUCGGAGCUAACGCGUUAAGCAUCCCGCCUGGGGAGUACGGCCGCAAGGCUAAAACUCAAAGAAAUUGACGGGGGCCCGCACAAGCGGCGGAGCAUGCGGAUUAAUUCGAUGCAACGCGAAGAACCUUACCUGGGCUUGACAUGUUCCCGACAGCCGUAGAGAUAUGGCCUCCCUUCGGGGCGGGUUCACAGGUGGUGCAUGGUCGUCGUCAGCUCGUGUCGUGAGAUGUUGGGUUAAGUCCCGCAACGAGCGCAACCCUCGCCCUGUGUUGCCAGCACGUCAUGGUGGGAACUCACGGGGGACCGCCGGGGUCAACUCGGAGGAAGGUGGGGAUGACGUCAGAUCAUCAUGCCCCUUACGUCCAGGGCUUCACGCAUGCUACAAUGGCCGGUACAACGGGAUGCGACACGGCGACGUGGAGCGGAUCCCUGAAAACCGGUCUCAGUUCGGAUUGGAGUCUGCAACCCGACUCCAUGAAGGCGGAGUCGCUAGUAAUCGCGGAUCAGCAACGCCGCGGUGAAUGCGUUCCCGGGCCUUGUACACACCGCCCGUCAAGUCAUGAAAGUGGGUAGCACCCGAAGCCGGUGGCCUAACC
rnacentral:rRNA from 1 species